rnacentral:misc_RNA from 1 species
CGCACCUUAUCACAACCUCCACCUGAAACUUUUCGCAUUCCGACAAUACCCAUACCCGACAGCUCUCUAACCUUAACGUUUUCGCAGGUAGAGUUCUGUACUCUUCAACUGUCUCUUGCAAAGCAAUGAGGAUCCCUAGCGGCGAUGAUGUCGUCUUAAUCCAACAACCCAGGAGCCCCGGCGACCCCACCGUCAUCACCGUCAAUUGCCCCGACAAGCCUGGCCUCGGCUGCGACCUCUGCCGUAUAAUUCUCGAGUUUGGUCUUUCCAUUACUCGCGCAGACUUUUCAACUGAUGGAAGAUGGUGUUACGUAGUAUUCUGGGUGGUUCCAGACUCCACCUCGCAUAGACUUGAUUGGGACAGCUUGAAAAAUAGGCUCUUUUUUGCGUCCCCUCCUUGUUUGGUUCCAUUCUAUUUUGAUCAGAAAUCUAAUGGUCCUUCGCUGCCUCCACUCUAUCUCUUGAAGGUUUGUUUUGUUGACCAGAAAGGGUUGCUACACGAUGUUACUAAAGUACUUACUGAGCUUGAAUUUACCAUUCAAAGAGUGAAAGUGAUGAAAACGCCGGAUGGGAAAGUUGUGGACCUGUUCUUCAUCACAGAUGGCAAGGAACUUUUACACACAGAAAAAAGGCGACGUGAAACAUGUAGACAUCUGGUUUCUGUUUUUAAAGAGUGUUGCAUUAGCUGCGAACUUCAACUGGCAGGACCUGAAUAUGAAAGUCUUCAGGCUUUCUCUUCCCUCCCACUGGCAAUUGCAGAGGAAUUAUUUAGCUGUGAACCAUCAGAAGGGAAAUCCUGUACCCAAGCAUUCUGCACAGAUAUAGCAAUAGCAGAGAAGGCUUCUGUUACAAUGGAUAAUCAUUUGAGCCCAGCUCGUACAUUACUUCAAAUUCAAUGUAUUGAUCAGAAAGGCCUAUUGUAUGACAUAUUGAGGACCUCAAAGGACUGCAAUAUCCAGAUUGCUUAUGGUAGAUUCUCUUCAAAUGUAAAAGGGUGCCGGAAUGUGGAUCUUCUUAUUCAACUAACCAAUGGAAAGAAGAUAGUAGAUCCUAAGCUUCAGCUUACUUUGUGUUCUCGUCUAAAGGCAGAGAUGCUUCAUCCUUUUCGAGUGAUUAUUGCCAACCGCGGCCCAGAUACUGAACUCUUGGUUGCUAA